rnacentral:rRNA from 1 species
UCCUACGGGAGGCAGCAGUGGGGAAUAUUGGACAAUGGGCGAAAGCCUGAUCCAGCCAUGCCGCGUGUGUGAAGAAGGCCUUUUGGUUGUAAAGCACUUUAAGCGAGGAGGAGGCUACUUAGAUUAAUACUCUAGGAUAGUGGACGUUACUCGCAGAAUAAGCACCGGCUAACUCUGUGCCAGCAGCCGCGGUCAUA